GUGAAUCAUCGAAUCUUUGAACGCAAAUUGCACUCUCUGGUAUUCCGGAGAGUAUGCCUGUUUGAGGGUCAGUUAAAUCGAAAUCGGUGUUGUUGCCGCGUUUCGUGGUGACGCGACGGAAUUGUGUUGUCUUACUUUCGGUUAAGUGACUCAAAAUUUUGCAUUAUUUUCUACAGGAUUGAA
rnacentral:misc_RNA from 1 species